GGAGCAAGCGGAAAUUCAUUUUAGUUCUCAUUUUCACUUCAAACGAUUUCCGUCUAAGCUCUCUCACACGCACUUGAAGCAGCAAGUGCUCUCCAAGCUCCAAUCCACACAUCGUCGAGCUCCAAGCUCCAAGCUCCAAUCCACACACUGAGCACCAAGCUCCGAUCCACACACCGAGCUCCACCAUCUCCCUCAGGCCAAACGCUCAAGAUCCUCUCCCUCACGCAGCUGAUCCUCUCCACGCACGUAAUGUCAAAGGGCAAAGAGAAGGUGAGCAGCAGCAAGCAGUUCAGGUGGCUGCCGCCCAUGCAUACAACGAUGCUUAGGAUACUUGCGUAGGAGGCUGCAAAGGGCAACAAGCCCUCUAGCACUUUCAAGGCAGGCUCCUUUGCACUUGUAGCGAAGGAGAUAACUGCCCAAUUUAGGGUUGAAUGCCACCCCUCUUAUGUUGAAAAUCAGAUGCGAACUCUAAGGACCAUGUGGUCCACUAUUUAGACUAUUAGAAAGAAGAGUGGCUUUGACUAGGAUGAUAACCCAAAAAUGAUAACAUGCGAUGCGAAGACAUACCAAGAAGAAGUCAUGGCGCAUCGAAAACAUGCGGAGUAUCUAAACAAAAAAAUUGAGAUGUAUGAUGAAUUAGCUAUUGUUGUGGGGAAGGACACUACCACGGGUGGCUUUUCUAAGUCCUAUGUGGAUAUUGAGAAUGAGCAAGACAAUGGGGACAAUGCUGAGUUUGUUGCAGACAAUGUGGAGGAAGGUGUGGUCGAGAAAGGGAAGAAUUCAGUCGAGUCAUCCACCACUGGGUCGGGAAUUUCCCAAGUCCCGCAAAAGAGGGCGUGCACCUUCUAAUGCUAAUGAUAAUGUGCUAACUAAUCUGUUUGAUUAGCUGAA